GCGGGCUGGGUUGCCGCAGGCAUUAUGCUUGAGGAAAGUCCGGGCUCGGAAGGGUUCGAUGCCGGAUAAUGUCCGGGGCAGGAAGAGCCUUUAGUUCCGAAUGUUCGGGGCUUAAGGCUUUAUCUUGUACAGAAAGUACCACAGAAAAUACACCGCUGCGUUUAUACGCAGUAAGGGUGAAAAGGUGAGGUAAGAGCUCACCGCAUUCCUGGCGACAGGAAUGGCAUGGCAAACCUCAUCGCGAGCAAGGUCAAACAGCGAUGGAUAACCCAUCCAAGUCGCUAUAAGCGGCAGAAUCGCGGGUAGACCGCUAGAAUGUACCAGCAAUGAUACAUCGAGACAGAUGGCAACCAUGCCGAGAGUGAAAUUAGCUCAAAGCAUACAGAACCCGGCUUACAGGCCCGCCUU
rnacentral:RNase_P_RNA from 1 species